rnacentral:misc_RNA from 1 species
UUUCAAAUGAUAUUCCUGAUGUUCUUUUUCUGGAACUGUAAUCCAAAUGUGUUGGCAAAAAAUUUCCCUUGCUUUUUUAAUUGAAAUGACAUUAUACAUCAUCCCUAGCAUUUGAUACACUGAUCUUUCACAUAGAGCAAUUAUUGCAUUCUGGGCAAUGAGACAAUUUAAGAGGUUGAUGUACUGUUCAGUCAUAAUGAAUAUAUUUCAAAUGCUCUAAUUUCUUGGAGUGUUCAGUCUUAUAAUCCUGUAAAUUGUCCACUUGAUUAUAGUUUGGAGUUGAUUUAGUUUUCUGAAAGGGAAUCUCUUGAUUUGUUGUUGAGCAUUUUAAGGAUAUAAUAAGAGUGUAGCAUAUCUAUAUUACUGUAUAAUUGUUUAUUAGUAGGAUCUAAUUUUCAGAAUCUUCAUCAAUUCUAC